rnacentral:rRNA from 1 species
UGGGGAAUAUUGCACAAUGGGCGCAAGCCUGAUGCAGCCAUGCCGCGUGUAUGAAGAAGGCCUUCGGGUUGUAAAGUACUUUCAGCGAGGAGGAAGGCGGUAAGGUUAAUAACCUUAUCGAUUGACGUUACUCGCAGAAGAAGCACCGGCUAACUCCGUGCCAGCAGCCGCGGCAAUACGGAGGGUGCAAGCGGUAAUCGGAAUUACUGGGCGUAAAGCGCACGCAGGCGGUCUGUCAAGUCGGAUGUGAAAUCCCCGGGCUCAACCUGGGAACUGCAUUCGAAACUGGCAGGCUAGAGUCUUGUAGAGGGGGGUAGAAUUCCAGGUGUAGCGGUGAAAUGCGUAGAGAUCUGGAGGAAUACCGGUGGCGAAGGCGGUCCCCUGGACAAAGACUGACGCUCAGGUGCGAAAGCGUGGGGAGCAAACA